UACGUAGGUGGCAAGCGUUGUCCGGAAUUAUUGGGCGUAAAGAGCGCGCAGGCGGUCGUUCAAGUCGAGUGUGAAAGCCCCCCGGCUCAACUGGGGAGGGUCACGCGAUACUGAUCGACUCGAAGGCAGGAGAGGGAAGUGGAAUUCCCGGUGUAGUGGUGAAAUGCGUAGAUAUCGGGGAGGAACACCAGUGGCGAAGGCGACUUCCUGGCCUGUUCUUGACGCUGAGGCGCGAAAGCUAGGGGAGCAAACGGG
rnacentral:rRNA from 1 species